CCUACGGGAGGCAGCAGUGAGGAAUAUUGGUCAAUGGCCGGAAGGCUGAACCAGCCAUGCCGCGUGAAGGUCAGUGCCCUAUGGGCGUUAAACUUCUUUUGUGCGGGAGCAAUAAUGGUCACGUGUGGCCAGACGAGAGUACCGUACGAAUAAGCAUCGGCUAACUCCGUGCCAGCAGCCGCGGUAAUACGUGGGAUGCAAGCGUUAUCCGGAUUUAUUGGGUUUAAAGGGUGCGUAGGCUGUGAGGUAAGUCAGCGGUGAAAUGCCCCCGCUCAACGGGGUGAAGUGCCAUUGAUACUGCCUGGCUGGAAUGCGGAUGCCGUGGGAGGAAUGUGUGGUGUAGCGGUGAAAUGCAUAGAUAUCACACAGAACACCGAUUGCGAAGGCAUCUCACGAAUCCGCGAUUGACGCUGAUGCACGAAAGCGUGGGUAUCAAACAGGAUUAGAUACCCCAGUAGUC
rnacentral:rRNA from 1 species